rnacentral:tRNA from 1 species
GGAGGGGUGGCAGAGUGGCCUAUUGCACUGGUCUUGAAAACCAGAGUGUCGCAAGGCACCGUGAGUUCGAAUCUCACCCCCUCCG